rnacentral:tRNA from 1 species
AUCUUAGUAGUUUAUCAUAAAAACCUUAGUUUGUGGUACUAAAAAAAAUAUAAGAUA